AUGAACGCUGGCGGUAUGCUUAACACAUGCAAGUUGAACGAAAGCUUAUGCUUUAGUAGCGGACGGGUGAGUAAUACAUGAGAAUCUACCUUUGGGAGGGGAAUAACAUUUGGAAACAGUUGCUAAUGCCCCAUAUGCUUACGAGUGAAAAAGAGAAAUCUGCCCAAAGAUGAGCUCAUGCCUGAUUAGCUAGUUGGUAAGGUAAAAGCUUACCAAGGCGACGAUCAGUAGCUGGUCUGAGAGGAUGAGCAGCCACACUGGGACUGAGACACGGCCCAGACUCCUACGGGAGGCAGCAGUGGGG
rnacentral:rRNA from 1 species